UGGGAAUCGAACCUGAGGCCCCUCACUCCGGGACAAUGCCCAGCCAACUGAGCCACACCGCUCAGGGCUAGUCUUAUCCUUCUUUCAUAUUGCAAAUACUUUCAAAGUACAACUCACAUCAAGUUUGCACCUUGUUUUAUUCUAUAUAAUGUUACUUAUUUGAAAUUACAUAUAUGUAAAAUGUAUAGGCUGCUGCAAAAUAUAAAGGCUAAAAGUACAAACUCUGGAGACAAAAAGACCUCAGUUCAAAAUCUAGUGUGGCACACACCAACAUCCCCACACCAGCUAUUUACCUUUUGGAACGUGUUUCCUUGCUGGAAAUACGGUUGAUAAAGCCAUUUAUGUGACAGGCUUAUUGGAGACAAUGCAAGUAAAGUGCUUAGAACAGAGUCCCUGGCACACAGUAAGCACCUAAUAAAUAUCAGCUGUUGUUCAUUUUCAAUAUAAUAAAAUAAGCUUUCAAAUGAAUUCCACAUUGCUAUUCUGAAGUCAAGCAAAGAAUAGUCUCAAUAUGUAAAUAAUCAUUCCCAACUAACCUUCAGGGAUUACUUUGCAUGGUAGAAACAGAAUGAAUUAGGAGACAGAAAACUUGGGUUCCAUUUUUAGCUCUGCCGCCUACUGGCUGUGCGACCAGAAGUCUGCCUGUCAGCCUCUCGGAGCCUGCAUCACAGGGUUGGUGAGUAAAAUGAUACCAUGGCUUCAAAACCAUCUUGUAAUUACAAAGAACUAUCUACAUGUAAGUUAAACAUCAGAAUUUAUUUACUUUGUGAAUUCUUAAUUUAUUCUCAAAUUCCUGUUUCACAUGGCUUCUCAUAUAUGGGCUAAUUUAAACAUAAGAAAUGUGCACUUAGGCAUGUCUGUAUGUGAAUUUGUAUUAAAAUGUUUUUAAACGUCUGGAAGAAAGGACAGUAAACUUUUGGCAGCCAUUGCCUCUAAGGAUAAGUAAGGUUAGACUGGCUGAGGAAGGAAAUUGUCACGUCUUUAUUUCCUUCUGAAAAAGUGGUGGGGUUAUGGGAAAUUUUCAAAAUAAUAAUGUAGCUAUUGCAAAAAUCAGAAUAGCAUUGCUUUAAAAAUAUUCUCACUGCCUCUGAAUAAAGAUUUGGAAUGCACGUUAAAA